rnacentral:lncRNA from 1 species
UGUGAUUUGGCCCUUGAAUUUGAGAGCUAAGGUUCCUUGGCUUGAGAGAGAGCAACACAAUUUGGGAAAAAAAGAGUGAAUAAUGAUAUCCUUAGGUCAUGUAGGGUUAAAUUUCGUGUUUAAGGCUGAACUAAAAUCAUGGGAAAAUACCUAUUUAACCCUGGACGCGUCUUUUGAUUUUUGUCAAAAUUUCCCGAUUUGGUAGGCUGGCGCGAUGCGGCGCUAUCGUGCCGUGUCACUGGAAAUUGCACACUGGGAACUGGGUUGACGGCGCGACGCGGUGAAAUCGCGUUGCAAUACUGUAUGGGACCUGGAUGUUUGGCGCGACGCGGAGACAUCACGCUGAGACAUUGGAAAAAGGAUAAUUGUGAAUUUGAGCCCUAGCGUGACGCACCAUAAUCACGGAGGCUCACUGGAUUUUGACGAUUGCCA